rnacentral:rRNA from 1 species
UACGGAGGGUGCAAACGUUGCUCGGAAUCAUUGGGCGUAAAGCGCACGUAGGCGGACCGCUAAGUCGGAUGUGAAAGCCCUCGGCUUAACCGAGGAAGUGCAUUCGAAACUGACGGUCUUGAGUAUGGAAGAGGGUCGCGGAAUUCCCGGUGUAGAGGUGAAAUUCGUAGAUAUACGGAGGAACACCAGAGGCGAAGGCGGAUCGCUGGGCCAACACUGACGCUGAUGUGCGAAAGCUAGGGGAGCAAACGGG